rnacentral:rRNA from 1 species
UACGGAGGGUGCGAGCGUUGUCCGGAAUCACUGGGCGUAAAGGGUGUGCAGGCUGCCUCUCAAGUGGUGUAUGAAAGGGCUCGGCUCAACCGGGCUAGGUUAUGCCAGACUGAGGGGCUAGAGAGCGAGAGCGGGACGUGGAAUUCCGGGUGUAGUGGUGAAAUGCGUAGAGAUCCGGAGGAACCCCAGAGGCGAAGGCGGCGUCCUGGCUCGCAUCUGACGCUCAGACACGACAGCAUGGGGAGCGAACGGG